rnacentral:tRNA from 1 species
GACUCUUUAGUGCAGUAGGCAACACAUCAGUCUCAAAAGCUGAAGGUCCCGAGUUCCACUCUUGGAAGGAUGG